rnacentral:rRNA from 1 species
GUUGUAUAGUCAAGUAAUGAAGUGCACAUGGUGGAUGCCUUGGCAGUCAGAGGCGAUGAAAGACGUGACAGCCUGCGAAAAGCGUCGGGGAGGCGGCAAUAUCCUGUGAUCCGGCGAUAUCUGAAUGGGGAAACCCACCUACCAUAAGGUAGGUACCCCGCUAUAUUUUAUAGCGGGGGGCAAACCGGGAGAAGUGAAACAUCUCAGUAACCCGAGGAAAAGAC